rnacentral:rRNA from 1 species
GACGAACGCUGGCGGCGUGCUUAACACAUGCCAGUCGAACGGUGGAGCGCUUGCCUUUUUGGUGGGUGUGGAUGAGUGGCGAACGGGUGAGUAACACGUGAGUAACCUGCCCUCUUCUUCUGGAUAACCUCAUGAAAGUGGGGCUAAUACGGGGUAUUCCGGGUCUGUCGCAUGGCGGGUUUGGGAAAGAUUGCGCCUUUGGGUGUUUUCGGUGGGGGAUGGGCUCGCGGCCUAUCAGCUUGUUGGUGGGGUGAUGGCCUACCAAGGCGGUGACGGGUAGCCGGCUUGAGAGGGUGGACGGCCACACUGGGACUGAGACACGGCCCAGACUCCUGCGGGAGGCAGCAGUGGGGAAUAUUGCACAAUGGGCGCAAGCCUGAUGCAGCGACGCCGCGUGAGGGAUGGAGGCCUUCGGGUUGUGAACCUCUUUCGCCAGUGAAGCAGGCCUGCUCCUGUGUGGGUGGGUUGACGGUAGCUGGAUAAGAAGCGCCGGCUAACUACGUG